GAAUGACUCUCGGCAACGGAUAUCUCGGCUCUCGCAUCGAUGAAGAACGUAGCGAAAUGCGAUACUUGGUGUGAAUUGCAGAAUCCCGUGAACCAUCGAGUUUUUGAACGCAAGUUGCGCCCGAAGCUGUUAGGCUGAGGGCACGUUUGCCUGGGCGUCGUAU
rnacentral:rRNA from 1 species